AUUCAAUACGCUGCUUGGCAUAGAAAUAAAAUGCUCAAGAAAUGAAAUAAGUGCUUCAAAUGCGGCCCGAAAAAUAACAACCAAUAUGCCUAUUUCAAAUUAUUCAACUUUUUAA